AUGUGUGCAAGAAACAUGUAAUAACAGUAGCUUUUCUCUUAAAUCCCUCUUGAAAACCGGAUUCUAGAGAUCAUCCUAAUAAAAUAAAGGUGAUGGCCACGGGUCUAGGUUGAUGGUACAAAUUCAAACACGAUAAUUCUUAGAAGU